rnacentral:lncRNA from 1 species
CUGGGACUAAGCCAAGGGAUUCAGGUGUGGUGCCGGUGGGAACUGAGGAAGCGCCCAAGGACACAAAAUAUAUAUCAAAUGGCGACAUUUGGAACAACAGCUGGUUUCUCUGGAAUAUUCUCAAACUUCCUGUUCAGACGCUGCUUCAAGAUAAUAUAAGCAAGGAAAACUGUGUUUUCAGAAGCUCACUGAUUGGCAUAGUUUGUGGUGUUUUCUAUCCCAGUUCUUUGGCUUUUACUAAAAAUGGACGCCUGGCAACCAAGUAUCAUACCGUUCCACUGCCACCAAAAGGAAGGGUUUUAAUCCAUUGGAUGACGCUUUGUCAAACACAAAUGAAAUUAAUGGCGAUUCCUCUAGUCUUUCAGAUUAUGUUUGG